rfam:Escovopsis weberi scaffold00008, whole genome shotgun sequence.
UCUUUCGUAGUAUAGUGGUCAGUAUACAAGCUUGUCACGCUUGGGACCCGGGUUCAAUUCCCGGCGAAAGAG